rnacentral:rRNA from 1 species
AUUGAACGCUGGCGGCAGGCCUAACACAUGCAAGUCGAACGAGUGGCGGACGGGUGAGUACUGUUUGGGAAACUGCCUGCAGGAGGGGGAUAACUACUGGAAACGGUAGCUAAACACGCAUCCCAUAAGAUGUGACUAGAUGGGAUUAGCUUGUUGUGGGGGUAACGGCUUACCAAGGCUCCGAGCCCUAGCUGGUCUGCGAGUAUGACCAGCCACACUGGAACUGAGACACGGUCCAGACUCCUACGGGAGGCAGCAGUGGGGAAGAUUGCACAAUGGGCGCAAGCCGGAUGCAGCCAUGCCGCGUGUAUGAAGAAGGCCUUCGGGUUGUAAAGUACUUUCAGCGGGGAGGCGUUACCCGCAGAAGAAGCACCGGCUAACUCCGUGCCAGCAGCCGCGGUAAUAC